GUGUCAGCCGCCGCGGUAAUACAGAGGGUGCGAGCGUUGUCCGGAAUCACUGGGCGUAAAGGGCGCGUAGGCGGCUGGGUAAGCCGCGUGUGAAAGCCCGGGGCUCAACCCCGGAACGGCACGCGGGACUGUCCGGCUCGAGCAUGGUAGAGGCGAGUGGAAUUCCUGGUGUAGCGGUGGAAUGCGUAGAGAUCAGGAAGAACACCGGUGGCGAAGGCGGCUCGCUGGGCCAUUGCUGACGCUGAGGCGCGAAAGCGUGGGGAGCAAACAGGAUUAGAUACCCUGGUAGUCC
rnacentral:rRNA from 1 species